GCUGCCGCCACCGCUGCUGCUACCGCCACCACCAGGCCGGGGAACAGCGUGCUUGGUAGGUGUUACUGGAGGCAGGGGGUCAGGACGAGAAUAUUCAAGAUUCAAGAUUCAAGAUGUUUUAUUUGUCACAUACACACACAGGGUGUGCAGUGAAAUGAAAGUGGCAAUGCUCAGCAGGAAUGUGCAAGGGCAACAAGUACACACUAUUUACAAUAAAAAACAACACAAUAUUUACAGUAAGUGUGUGUGUGUG